GGCCAGCAGCCGCGGUAAUACGUAGGGGGCGAGCGUUGUCCGAAUUCACUGGGCGUAAAGCGCGCGUAGGCGGGUUUUUAAGUUGGGGGUGAAAUCCCGAGGCUCAACCUCGGAACUGCCUCCAAAACUGGAAGCCUUGAGGUUUGGAGAGGGAAGUGGAAUUCCAGGUGUAGCGGUGAAAUGCGUAGAUAUCUGGAGGAACACCCGUGGCGAAGGCGGCUUCCUGGCCAUAUCCUGACGCUGAGGUGCGAAAGCUAGGGGAGCGAACGGGAUUAGAUACCCCGGUAGUCCUAGCCGUAAACGAUGGAUACUAGGUGUUAGAGGUAUCGACCCCUCUAGUGCCGCAGCUAACGCAUUAAGUAUCCCGCCUGGGGAGUACGACCGCAAGGUUGAAACUCAAAGGAAUUGACGGGGGCCCGCACAAGC
rnacentral:rRNA from 1 species